rnacentral:rRNA from 1 species
AAUAUUGGACAAUGGGGGCAACCCUGAUCCAGCCAUGCCGUGUGUGUGAAGAAGGUCUUCGGAUUGUAAAGCACUUUAAGUUGGGAGGAAGGGCCUUAGGUUAAUACCCUGAAGUUUUGACGUUACCUACUGAUUAAGCUCCGGCUAACUCUGCUCCAGCAGCCGCGGUAAUAAAGAGGGUGCAAGCGUUAAUCGGAAUUACUGGGCGUAAAGGACGGGUAGGUGGUUCAGAAAGAUGGGUGUGAAAUCCCCGGGCUUAACCUGGGAACUGCUUUCAUAACCGCUGAGCGAGAGUAAGGUAGAGGGUAGUGGAAUUUCCUGUGUAGCGGUGAAAUGCGUAGAUAUAGGAAGGAACACCAGUGGCGAAGGCGACUACCUGGACUGAUACUGACACUGAGGUGCGAAAGCGUGGGGAGCAAAC